rnacentral:rRNA from 1 species
UACGAAGGGGGCUAGCGUUGUUCGGAAUCACUGGGCGUAAAGCGCACGCAGGCGGACCUGCAAGUCGGGGGUGAAAGCCCGAGGCUCAACCUCGGAACUGCCUUCGAUACUGCGGGUCUCGAGUCCGGGAGAGGUGAGUGGAAUUCCUAGUGUAGAGGUGAAAUUCGUAGAUAUUAGGAAGAACACCAGUGGCGAAGGCGGCUCACUGGCCCGGUACUGACGCUGAGGCGCGAAAGCGUGGGGAGCAAACAGG